CCUACGGGAGGCAGCAGUGAGGAAUAUUGGUCAAUGGGCGCGAGCCUGAACCAGCCAAGUCGCGUGAGGGAUGAAUGUUCUAUGGAUCGUAAACCUCUUUUAUAAGGGAAUAAAGUGUGGGACGUGUCCUCUUUUGUAUGUACUUUAUGAAUAAGGAUCGGCUAACUCCGUGCCAGCAGCCGCGGUAAUACGGAGGAUCCGAGCGUUAUCCGGAUUUAUUGGGUUUAAAGGGAGCGUAGACGGCCUUUUAAGUCAGCUGUGAAAGUUUGUGGCUCAACCAUAGAAUUGCAGUUGAAACUGGGGGGCUUGAGUACGGUUGAGGCAGGCGGAAUGCGUGGUGUAGCGGUGAAAUGCUUAGAUAUCACGCAGAACCCCGAUUGCGAAGGCAGCCUACCAAGCCAUGACUGACGCUGAUGCACGAAAGCGUGGGGAUCAAACAGGAUUAGAUACCCCGGUAGUC
rnacentral:rRNA from 1 species